GCAUUCAAGGGUCUCUGUCUUGUCUAUGUUUUCUCACACCAAGGCCCAUACUUUCCCCACACUCCCACACUCCUAAACACACACACCCUUUCCAUUUGCACCAGCCGUAUGCAGGUAUUGAGCUAUCCAACACAAUGGGCUGUGUCAUACCUUUGUUGUCCUUCUGUUCUGUCUUCCAGGGCCUGGUGAGACCUCGGCAGCUCCUGGGCAGAGUCUGCCACCUCCAUCGCUGUGCCCUAUCCAUGUCUUCCUUGCACAAGCACUUCGGUGUGUGUGUGUGGUCGCAGGUCGCCUAGUGACUGUGUAUGCAGAGCUCACUCAUCUCAUCCUUAGGGCCCGGAACAAGAGCCAUGAAGUUUUGAAAAAGAACAUUCAGCCCCUUGGCAUUCUACAGAAAGUCAGAGCUGACUCCACUUGGAGUUUCCAUAAGGUUCACCGUGAGGCAGAGGUACAAGGUGCCUUUCAACAACCCCAGGACACAGCUGAGCAUCCCAUCCCCAGGAGACCCUGUCCAGGGCAGCUAGACCCCAGGUUGGUCCUCACUGGAACACAAGGAGAUGUGGCCACAACCACAAAUGAAGGACAUCUUCU
rnacentral:lncRNA from 1 species